rnacentral:misc_RNA from 1 species
AAAGUCGUAACAAGGUUUCCGUAGGUGAACCUGCGGAAGGAUCAUUACCGAGUGUCGGGCCCCCCCGGGGGUCCACCCUCCCACCCGUGUCUACCGUCCCUUGUUGCUUCGGCGGGUCCGCCCUUCGGGGCAGCCGGGGGGCCUCUGUGCCCCCGGGCUCCGUGCCCGCCGGAGACGUCCCCACGAACCCGGUGUGAAGGUUGCCGUCUGAGUGGAUGAUCUCCAAUCGUAAUUAAAACUUUCAACAACGGAUCUCUUGGUUCCG